AUUGAACGCUAGCGGCAGGCCUAACACAUGCAAGUCGAGCGAGCGGCGGACGGGUGAGUAAUGUCUGGGAAACUGCCUGAUGGAGGGGGGUAACUACUGGAAAAGGUAGCUAAUACCGCAUACCAUCGGAUGUGCCCAGAUGGGAUUAGCUAGUAGGUGGGGUAACGGCUCACCUAGGCGACGAUCCCUAGCUGGCCUGAGAGGAUGACCAGCCACACCGGAACUGUGACACGGUCCAGACUCCUACGGGAGGCAGCAGUUGUGAAUAUUUCACAAUGGGCGCAAGCCUGAUGCAGCCAUGCCGCGUGUAUGAAGAAGGCCUUCGGGUUGUAAAGUACUUUCAGCGGGGAGGCGUUACCCGCAGAAGAAGCACCGGCUAACUCCGGGCCAGCAGCCGCGGUAAUAC
rnacentral:rRNA from 1 species